UAUUACCUACUUGGUACGUGACCCCUUGUUUUUUUAACCUACAAAUGUAAUUCGGGAGCAUCAGAUCCGGUUGUCUAUGUCAGGCCGCCACGGGCGGAAGACAGACGCAGCUGGUCGGCACCCACCUGGGAGAGGUGGGUUGAUAAAAAAACUGGUGGGUAACGGCCCGGUGGGAAAGAC
rnacentral:other from 1 species